UUAAUAGGUCGGGUGCUUCUCUUCUCAGCUUCCUUCCUCACUCUUACCGCUGGCUGAGCUGAAGCAGUCGCUUCUGACAGCACACACACACACACACACACACACACACACACACACACGAGAUAGAGGCAGGAUUCACUCUGACACCCGUGCAAUCACGAAGGCUCAUGAUGCACGAACAUACAGACUCUUCAAACACGCCUACCCCUGCACCUUUUCUCCUGGAGGCAGUUUGGCCCUAAAAGGUCCUUAUUCAAAUUCCGAGGCCAUGCUCAGCUUUGUGAGGGGGUGGGGGAGGGGACUGGCCCUUUUGAACUUUUGUCACAGUAUUUAAAGGAAGAGAUGCAAGAAUGAGUCUAAAUUCUCGGAGUCUGACCUUGGAAAACCACUUAGCUCUCCGUUUGCGAAGGAUUUCAUGUGUCUGCCGAGUCAGGGAACAUUAAGAAGGUGCCCUCUCAACGGUGAUUCUUUCAGCUAAUCUCAGAAUCUAUCCAAGAAACUGCCUCCCUGUGUUUCAUUCCCACCGGAGGGAAAAGCAGUCCACUUUCUGGCUGAAUUUCUCAAGGAGAAGUUGGAGGAGGAUCUCCCUACGGGAAACAGCAUUUACAGACCCAACAGCCCAAAACAAAAGAGCCACUGGGGCAUUUCAGCAGGUGAUGGUGAUGGCCUCACUGGGUGCCUGGGAAGGGUGCUGACACCACAGUGCCCAGCCGUGUGAGUCAUCCUUUUGCAAGGAAGAGAACACAAGCCUCCUUAGAAUUCCUGGACUUGGAUCCAGUGGGGUUUUUAGCUGUAUGUCACCAGCAGUCAUUGGACUGAACUAUGCUGUGGUCCCUUUUCCAUCAUCAGCUACGAUUACCCGUGGGAUUGUAAAGGAUCCAGUAGACAAAAAUGGAUCCAAGAAACUUCAUCUCCCUAAAAUUUCAAGACAAAAAUUAACUUUACAAGGCUUUCUUUCUAUGCCACAUUAGAACAGUGCCAUCCUAGUUUGUUUGUUUGUUUGUUUGUUUGUUUGUUUUUUAACUCCCACUGCCAUGGUGUGUGGUGUAGGGUCUAGCCCAUGUUUUUCUGUCAAACUGUUAUUUCUCUCAAUUUCUGUUACAGUAUCUUUGAACAAACGAGGGUUUGUCCUGUGUUCUAAUGUUCUUAAAUAGCCAAACCUCUAGAUCUGAUUCCUCACUAUUCUUAGUAGAAUAUCAGAUGCUUUGUUCAGUCUUGCUUCUUAUAAUGGCCAUUAUUUAGAGUUUGAUUUACAUGUUUAUUUAUAUUUUGAGACAGAAUUCGAAGUUGGCCUCAAACAUUUGAUCCUACUACCACACCCUCUCAAGCACUGGGAUUGGAGGUGUAUGGCACCUCCCCUGGCCCUUUCCUUGACAUUUCAGAUGUGUGAGCCAGCGCCCAGUGAGCAAUGCGGUUGAUUCAGUGCACCACGCGAAGGAUGUAAGUGGUCUGAUGGACACCUGUCUGACCUCUCUCAGAUGGGCACUCGCUCAGACUGCUUGAGUAGUGUAUGUAAUAUUGCCUAUUGCAAGUAGCAUUCCUAAUGUAGCUUCUUGCAGGUAGUGUACUUAAUGAUGCUGCUUGCGAAUAGUGUACUUUAUUGUGCUUGUUGCAAGUAGUAUACACAAAGUUUUCCAUCUCCAAUGGUAUUUCAGUGACGUUGAGCUUUAUAAAACACUUUAGUUACUGGUUUUAUUGCAAAUAGGAAAAAUCAAUGACAUGUUUAAAUUUCUACAAGGAGGCAUUUUUUUUCUGCAUUCAGAAUCUCAGAGGCCAUUAGCAAAUGAACUGGUCACAUGGGUCUUCAUUUUAAAGGAGAAAUUCAGACCCCAGAAAUAUGCUCAUAUUCUCAGAACUGAUGACAGAAUUGAAAUAUAAAUUCUGGCCCUUUCAUCUGAGACCGGAUCCCAUUGACUUGAUAUUUCUGAAAUGCACCUUUGUGGUAGGACAAGGGGAGGAGCUGUUCAACCUUGGCAUUCCCACCUGGAGUGAUGUCAAGGAGUCUUCCAUGGAUGCAAGACAACCAGUGCUCUGAGCUGCUGAGCCACAAGGCAGCUGCGCACUGAGGCCCAGAUCUAACAAGGUCUCAGAGAUUGGUUCACAUGUUUGGGUCUGUCUUCAAUAUAAAUAUCACUUGCUGAUAACUGAGGAGCCUAGAAAAAUCAAUAGUUUGAGCAAGUUCAUCAUGCCUGGCAGCAGAAAUAGCACAGGUCAUAGGGCCUGGGGUUGAAGGAAAACUUAGAUAUUUGCUAAUUGUGUGUCUGUCUUUCAGAAACU